rnacentral:rRNA from 1 species
UAAUCCACUUCGGGAGGGGCCUGCGUCCCAUCAGCUAGUUGGUAAGGUAACGGCCUACCAAGGCGAAGACGGGUAGGGGACCUGAGAGGGUGGCCCCCCACACUGGCACUGAAACACGGGCCAGACACCUACGGGUGGCAGCAGUAGGGAAUAUUGCACAAUGGGCGAAAGCCUGAUGCAGCAACGCCGCGUGCGCGAAGAAGGCCUUCGGGUUGUAAAGCGCUUUUCUGGAGGAAGAGAAAGGACGGUACUCCAGGAAUAAGGAUCGGCUAACUACGUGCCAGCAGCCGCGGUAACACGUAGGAUCCGAGCGUUAUCCGAAUUUACUGGGCGUAAAGCGCGUGUAGGCGGCCGGGUAAGUUGGACGUGAAAUCUCCUGGCUCAACUAGGAGAGGUCGUUCAAAACUGCCUGGCUAGAGGGCGACAGAGGGAGGUGGAAUUCCCGGUGUAGUGGUGAAAUGCGUAGAUAUCGGGAGGAACACCAGUGGCGAAGGCGGCCUCCUGGAUCGCCCCUGACGCUCAGACGCGAAAGCUAGGGGAGCAAACGGGAUUAGAUACCCCGGUAGUCCUAGCUGUAAACGAUGUGGAC